rnacentral:rRNA from 1 species
UACGGGGGGGAGCAAGCGUUGUUCGGAUUUACUGGGCGUAAAGGGCGCGUAGGCGGUCGUGACAAGUCACUUGUGAAAUCUCCGGGCUUAACUCGGAAAGGUCAAGUGAUACUGUCGGACUAGAGUACAGAAGGGGCAACUGGAAUUCUCGGUGUAGCGGUGAAAUGCGUAGAUAUCGAGAGGAACACCUGCGGCGAAGGCGGGUUGCUGGGCUGAUACUGACGCUGAGGCGCGAAAGCUAGGGGAGCGAACGGG